rnacentral:misc_RNA from 1 species
ACACAUCAACUCUCAUGGCUUGCCGUGACGAGCUUGGACUUUGGAGGUCUUGCUGGCCUGUGGCCGGCUCCUCUCAAAUGAAUUAGCCUGCCGGUGUUUGGUGGGAUCACAGGUGUGAUAACUAUCUACGCUUGUGGUUUUUCACCAGGUAACCUCCAGUGAUGGAGGUUCGCUGGAGCUCACAAACGUCUCUCCUUGUGAGGACAAUUUCUGAAC